rnacentral:lncRNA from 1 species
UGAAAAAUUAUGAAGUCCUCACCAGUCUGAGGCAAAGAAAAGAACUUACUUGGGAGAUAUUCCUCACCCAAAUUCACAAUUGCUUGUUAAAAGUUAGUAACUUGGGGCGCAAGUUAUCCAAAUUUAAGAAGUCUGCUAGGGUUUUCACUACUAGCAGUGGCACACUCAUACACAAAAGAAAGUUGACUUGUUGACCACCAAUGGUUUUCAAGCCAAUGAGGAACUUUACCUUACCAUCACAGGAUUAAAUAAAAAAUGAGUGAACAAUUUGGCACGCCCAGUUGGACUUCUUAGUACGCAUAUUCCUAGAAUUAUCUUCUAG